UACGAAGGGGGCUAGCGUUGUUCGGAAUUACUGGGCGUAAAGCGCACGUAGGCGGAUAUUUAAGUGAGGGGUGAAAUCCCAGGGCUCAACCCUGGAACUGCCUCUCAUACUGGGUAUCUCGAGUUCGAGAGAGGUGAGUGGAAUUGCGAGUGUAGAGGUGAAAUUCGUAGAUAUUCGCAAGAACACCAGUGGCGAAGGCGGCUCACUGGCCCGAUACUGACGCUGAGGCACGAAAGCGUGGGGAGCAAACAGG
rnacentral:rRNA from 1 species